UUCCGGUUGAUCCUGCCRGACCCGACUGCUAUCAGAGUGGGACUAAGCCAUGCGAGUCAACGCAGCAAUGCGUGGCAUACGGCUCAGUAACACGUAGUCAACAUGCCCAGGGGACGUGGAUAACCUCGGGAAACUGAGGAUAAACCGCGAUAGGCCAAGGUUUCUGGAAUGGACACUGGCUGAAACCUAUAUGGCCCCUGGAUUGGACUGCGGCCGAUCAGGCUGUUGGUGAGGUAAUGGCCCACCAAACCUGUAACCGGUACGGGCUUUGAGAGAAGGAGCCCGGAGAUGGGCACUGAGACAAGGGCCCAGGCCCUAUGGGGCGCAGCAGGCGCGAAAAUUCUGCAAUAGGCGAAAGCUUGACAGAGUUACUCUGAGUGAUGCCCGCUAAGGGCAUCUUUUGGCACCUCUAAAAGUGGUGCAGAAUAAGGGGUGGGCAAGUCUGGUGUCAGCCGCCGCGGUAAUACCAGCACCCCGAGUGGUCGGGACGAUUAUUGGGCCUAAAGCAUCCGUAGCUUGUUCUGCAAGUCUUCCGUUAAAUCCACCUGCUCAACAGAUGGGCUGCGGGAGAUACUACAGGGCUAGGAGGCGGGAGAGGCAAGCGGUACUCAGUGGGUAGGGGUAAAAUCCUCUGAUCCACUGAAGACCACCAGUGGCGAAGGCGGCUUGCCAGAACGCGCUCGACGGUGAGGGAUGAAAGCUGGGGGAGCAAACCGGAUUAGAUACCCGGGUAGUCCCAGCUGUAAACGAUGCAGACUCGGUGAUGGGUUGGCUUUGCGCCAACCCAGUGCCGCAGGGAAGCCGUUAAGUCUGCCGCCUGGGGAGUACGGUCGCAAGACUGAAACUUAAGGAAUUGGCGGGGGAGCACCACAAGGGGUGAAGCCUGCGGUUCAAUUGGAKUCAACGCCGGR
rnacentral:rRNA from 1 species